GACGAACGCUGGCGGCGUGCUUAACACAUGCAAGUCGAACGGAAAGGCCCUGCUUUUGUGGGGUGCUCGAGUGGCGAACGGGUGAGUAACACGUGAGUAACCUGCCCUUGACUUUGGGAUAACUUCAGGAAACUGGGGCUAAUACCGGAUAGGAGCUCCUGCUGCAUGGUGGGGGUUGGAAAGUUUCGGCGGUUGGGGAUGGACUCGCGGCUUAUCAGCUUGUUGGUGGGGUAGUGGCUUACCAAGGCUUUGACGGGUAGCCGGCCUGAGAGGGUGACCGGACACAUUGGGACUGAGAUACGGCCCAGAAUCCUACGGGAGGCAGCAGUGGGAAAUAUUGCACAAUGGACGGAAGCCUGAUGCAGAAACGCCGCGUGCGGGAUGACGGCAUUCGGGUUGUAAACCGCUUUCGCCUGUGACGAAGCGUGAGUGACGGUAAUGGGUAAAGAAGCACCGGCUAACUACGUG
rnacentral:rRNA from 1 species